CCAGUUACUCACUGGCAAUGGGGGGGGCCAAUUGUCCUAGACCCAAGCUAUGCAGCAUAUAACUCUAUAUAGCAACAUUUUACGACCACGACGUGCACCAAGAAAAAUGUGCAAGUCUGGGGCUGGUUCCCCCACACACCUGGCAAGCCCAAAUAUUCUGGCAAGACAAGUUUCAAACAGGUCUGUUCAAUUUUUGAAGGGUCACCUCAAAAGACUUGUCAGAAGCAUACAAAUCCUCAUAUCUAUAUAUAUUAUCAUAUAAUAAUUUUUUUGCAGAUAUGACUGUAGCUUACAGUAUUUAAGGCCUACUUCAGAAAAUGUUUUGUUUGUUUGUUUUCGAUCUACUGAUGUAAGUGCACAACAGCAUCGUAAAGUAUAACCAUGUUUCUGUACUCAAUUUUUAAUGGCAAAUUUACAGGUUUUAAAACUGUCUACAGGCCCUUUAAAUAUUGCUGUAUUGUAAAAUUCUACAAAACCGUCAUAUAUUUCUUUUGUGAUGCAUAUAUGUACAGUAAAUGAUAUUAGUCUGUUCUGCAUCCCCUUUGCUCAUAGGCAUUGGUGAUGAAAGCAUUAUAAAAGCCAAUGCUGUUGCUAUUGCUAUACAGCAUUAAUUUCUUCUCUUUCUUUCAGAAAUAUAAAAACAGAGAUAUAAAAGACCGAAAACUUGAGGGCCGAGUUAGCAGUGGCUGAUGAUUUUUACGAGACUUUCCGCAAUCACCCAGUAGAUGAAGAAAUAAUUCCUUGUGGAAUGUGCAGUUUUCCCUGUUCCAACCCUAGGGCCAUCAACUAUGCCUCACCAGUCAUUGUUCCUGCCUCACCAGUGAAUGCUCCUGCCUCACCAGUCAUUGUUUCUGCCAGAGCCGGCGCCAGCCUAUUUGGCGCCCUUAGCAGGACUGCAGCUGGCGUCCCCACCCGCCUCCCACUUAACGAUUGGGUUUGCCCACAAAGUAAUCCAGAAUCUACUGGGUGUAAUCGACAGCUCAGGCAGAGCUGUUGGGUGAGUGGAACUCGAAGCUGAUCGAGGGAGGAGUAGUGCGGGGCACUGACGCUCUCAGGCAUCAGUCCAGCGUCUGAAACUCCUCCACGCACAGGUUCCUCUUGGCCAAGAGCCUUGUAGAUUGGGACGACCUCCACACUAAUUUGGGAGAUGGAUGAAGGCCAGUGAACUCGGGUAAAUUCGUGAACACGAGCGUCAGGAACUAACCACCUCCUCUGGGAUCCAGUCAACUGGUCAGCCGUUCAAUGUCCAGUUUGUUGAUAUCACAGGCAGAGCAAACAGUGCCAGCCCCCUUCAUUGUUAUGGGUGAGUCCACUACUCAGUAGGGGUAUAUGGUGGCUGUGUUAUUCCUCUGAAUACACCUGUAUGUAUUCACCUGAAUUGUCUGAGUGUUUGGAGUCAGCAAGAGUAGGUUGACCAUCAGUUUGUGCGUGGGCAAAGGUACCAUAGUGGUGAAGAGAAGCUACUAAUUCUGGUGAUGUUAAAGUAUUAGUGUUGGUGCUGUAACUGGCAUCAUUGCCACUUGUAAUAGUGCUCAAAGGUGCUAUGUAAGAGUAUUGUGUGUGUUCUUGUACAUGUAAGUGGAAAAUGUACCUAAGUUUAACAGUACCAAAUAAGUAAAGCCAGGGAGUUGACCCCCAUCAUUCUCUCCCAUUGCUUGAUAUCAGAAUUACAGUGUACCCAUGUCAUAACCCCCGAGCCACAAUACCAAAGAUCAAGAGGUUAUGGAGUAAUUAUAUGAAAUGAAAUAACUAGACAAAACUAAUGGAGAAAAUAAAUGAAGUAAGAAAUUAAGAGGAAACCAGGUUGAGUUUAAAAGUUAUCUUAUAAAUGGUUUCAGCGACUGGAUUGUAAUUUAAAAUGGUACCCAGUUGGGAGGAAGGAAUGAGCUAAUGUAGGUGUUUUUAACUGAUUUGUAGUAACCAUUUCUCUGUGCUGGUAUCUAAUAAACAUUUAACGGUAACUGAGUAUUUCAGAUUGCUAAUAAUUUUGUUCCAUAUUCUUCCAAGGUACAGUACAUUGCACAGUAUAUGUAAUUCUGUACUAAUUAAUUAGGGACAUAAUUAUUUCAGUAGGUUAUGUGUGUGUGUUUAUGUGCUGCCUUUAUUGAUAUAUACAUUAUAUAUUCUGUUACUUCUUACCAAAGUUAGAAUGUGUUUAGGCCUGUGUAAUCACGAAUGUGUUAGGCACAUGGUACAUAACAAUAAACGACUGGAGUAAGACUUGG
rnacentral:lncRNA from 1 species